AAAAUAAACUAUUUCCAGCAGUGCAAUUCGAUUUCUAAGCAUCCCAGAAACUAUUCAGAAAAGCAUAGAGUCAAACAUGACUUAUAAAAACACCAGUAUAGGCUUUUGAAGCUUACAAGUAAAAAACUACAUUUUCCGCGAAAAUGACAUCACUUCCGGUUUAGGGCAGGAAAUGGCGGACAUGCGAAGUGUUACGAACAGCUGAUCAGAUCGGCAAAGACUGUUUCUGUAAUAUUAUGUUUUUGUUGCUGCAAGCGCUUUUUAUGCAAUUUUUGCAAAGCUAUAUGUGGAAGGAAACCAUGACCUAGUGCAAGCUGAUGGCAUAAGAUGUAAGUACAACUCCUCCGGUUUCAGAUGCAAAAGAAAUUAUUGCGCUAGCUAACGCGGUUCCGGUUUUACAGGGAUAUAAAAUAGUUACGCAAAACGCAGCGUGCCCGCUCCGACCGGCUUUAAAGGGUUAAGAAAUGGAUGACAACAUUUGAGGUAAAGCAAAUCUUUCACCUGUAAAACCUAUUAACAAAGACUAGCCAUCAAAAUUUCGCUAAACAUACGAUGGAUUAGUUUAUCUGAAAACACAACGCCGGAAUCUGUGUUUGUGUACAUCUGUACCUUUUCACGGAUGAAAUGCUCACCUUCACAACUUAUGUCUUUUUCAAAACCACAUGCUUAGGCCAUGAUGGAGUCUGGGAUCCUUGAACUGGACAAUCCUGUGCACAUGUAAGUCAAUGUUUUUAGACAUGAAAAAUGAUCAAGCAGCAGUAUGAAAGUAUGUGGUCUAGGAAUGCCUUUGUUUUUUGAGUACUGAUUAAAAUUUAGCUUUUACUUAUUCUACCUCAAAAAAGCAGAUGAACAUAUUAAGUUUUUAAUCCUCCUUUUUAAUAGCAACUGCUUGCAGUACUCACACUUGCCACUGCUUCAAAGAGACUUUGAGAAAAGAGAAACGGAGCAAACAGUUUAGAACACCCAUGACACCCGCAAGCAACGCAAUGCACCCGGUCCAUUUGGGAAACCCGACCUUCUGUUUACCUCACCACCUCCAGGAUAUGGCAAUGUGCUGCACAUAGUUGACCCAGACCUUUUAGACUACGCCAAGCAAUUAAUCUGUGAGAGGGAAGAGCCUUCACUGGUAG
rnacentral:lncRNA from 1 species